rnacentral:rRNA from 1 species
GACGAACGCUGGCGGCGUGCUUAACACAUGCAAGUCGAACGGAAAGGCCCUGCUUUUGUGGGGUGCUCGAGUGGCGAACGGGUGAGUAACACGUGAGUAACCUGCCCUUGACUUUGGGAUAUCUUCAGGAAACUGGGGCUAAUACCGGAUAGGAGCUCCUGCUGCAUGGUGGGGGUUGGAAAGUUUCGGCGGUUGGGGAUGGACUCGCGGCUUAUCAGCUUGUUGGUGGGGUAGUGGCUUACCAAGGCUUUGACGGGUAGCCGGCCUGGGAGGGUGACCGGCGUCAUUGGUACUGAGAUACGGACCAGACUCCUACGGGAGGCAGCAGUGGGGAAUAUUGCACAAUGGGCGGAAGCCUGAUGCAGCAACGCCGCGUGCGGGAUGACGGCCUUCGGGUUGUAAACCGCUUUCGCCUGUGACGAAGCGUGAGUGACGGUAAUGGGUAAAGAAGCACCGGCUAACUACGUG